rnacentral:rRNA from 1 species
CGUACGCUGGCGGCACGCCUAACACAUGCAAGUCGAACGCAGUAGCAAUACUGAGUGGCAAACGGGUGAGUAUAAUGUGGGAAUCUGCCUUUUGGUUUGGAAUAACACGGGGAAACUUGUGCUAAUACCGAAUAAGCCCUUACGGGGAAAGUUUUAACGCCGAAAGAUGAGCCCGCACUUGAUUAGCUAGUUGGUAAGGUAAAAGCUUACCAAGGCAACGAUCAAUAGCUGUUCUUAGAGGAAGACCAGCCACAUUGGGACUGAGACACGGCCCAGACUCCUACGGGAGGCAGCAGUGGGGAAUCUUGCACAAUGGGGGAAACCCUGAUGCAGCGAUGCCGCGUGAGUGAAGAAGGCCCUUGGGUUGUAAAACUCUUUCGUCGGGGAAGAAAAUGACUGUACCCGAAUAAGAAGGUCCGGCUAACU